rnacentral:rRNA from 1 species
GUCGAUUAGCCACGUACAUUCGUCUCCUGGCAUCCAUAGCAGGUGUCCCUGUAACCUGGAAACGUAAGAUACCAGGGGCAGGACGCUGCUUGGUGCCGGCCAAGGCGCUCUAAGGCGAACCACCGGGGUUGGCUACCAUGGCCCCCAUCAAGAGUGCAUCUACUUUCUCCUGGUCUGGGCUCGCCCCUCUCCAUUUAAAUUCCUCUGUGUAUCUUACCUUUGUUGCUUCCCGUCAGGCGUCAGUGUCUCACGGGGAGGAAAGCUCUUAAACUCUGGUUGUAUUGUCGUUUGUCUGAGUGGUCAACACACAAAACAAGUUAAAACUUUCAACAACGGAUCUCUUGGUUCUCGCAUCGAUGAAGAACGCAGCGAAAUGCGAUAAGUAGUGUGAAUUGCAGAAUUCAGUGAAUCAUCGAAUCUUUGAACGCACAUUGCGCCUCCUGGUAUUCCGGGAGGCAUGCCUGUUCGAGCGUCAUCAAACACAUCCUCAAGCAUUAUUUUGCUUGGUCUUGGGAGAAGAUGUCCGCAUCUCCCCUGAAAUUCCUCAGCGGAAAAGCCAUCUCAGUCCUCAGGUGUGAUAAAAUACUGUUCACCUGGUGAUGCUGAGUGGUGCUCCAGCUGUUGAUAGCCCCCCAGCUUUCUCAUGAGUUUGACCUCGGAUCAGGUAGGGAUACCCGCUGAACUUAAGCAUAUCAAUAAGCGGAGGAAAAGAAACCAACAG